rnacentral:rRNA from 1 species
GAUGAAUGCUGGCGGCGUGCUUAACACAUGCCAGUCGAACGGAAAGGCUCCUGCUUGCAGGGGUACUCGAGUGGCGAACGGGUGAGUAACACGUGGGUGAUCUGCCCUGCACUUCGGGAUAAGCCUGGGAAACUGGGUCUAAUACCGGAUAGGACGAUGGUUUGGAUGCCAUUGUGGAAAGUUUUUCGGUGUGGGAUGAGCUCGCGGCCUAUCAGCUUGUUGGUGGGGUAAUGGCCUACCAAGGCGUCGACGGGUAGCCGGCCUGAGAGGGUGUACGGCCACAUUGGGACUGAGAUACGGCCCAGACUCCUACGGGAGGCAGCAGUGGGGAAUAUUGCACAAUGGGCGCAAGCCUGAUGCAGCGACGCCGCGUGGGGGAUGACGGCCUUCGGGUUGUAAACUCCUUUCGCUAGGGACGAAGCGCAAGUGACGGUACCUGGAGAAGAAGCACCGGCUAACUACGUG